GGUGUGGUGCCGGCGCGGGCGUCGUGGAGACGGCGAGAGGUGCUGCGCCGGGUGGAGGGGUGCGGCGCGUGCACGGCGCGCUCCGGCCAGGCUGCCGUGCGAGGGAAGAGGCCGCUGCCGCGCUGCUCCGGAACGCGGCGUCACGAGUGUGGCACGCAGUGGUGCCUCAGUCGUACCACGGCUACCGUCAAUAGGCUGCGCCAAAGAAUCCGGAUAGAGGCUGCUUUCGUCAGACGUUCUGGUGAAAGGAGUCGGCCUCUUCCGGCGGUGUCGUGGACGCCGCUGACCGCGGGGCCGCGCGGGGUCACGCGGGGUCAGGCCGGGUCACGUUGGGUUACGCGCCUCGCAGUCGGGCGCUGGACCGGUUCCAGUGGGCAGCAAUACGGCGCUAAGGGGAUGGGCAUCCUCUGAUCGGCAGCCGCUGCCGCAUGAUGAUCAGCAGGAGUCGGCCGCCGAGUGUGACGCGGCCAGAGCCGGUGCCGCUGCAGGAGUAUACCCUGGA